GUGGAUGAGUGGCGAACGGGUGAGUAAUACGUGAGUAACCUGCCCUUGACUCUGGGAUAAGCCCGGGAAACUGGGUCUAAUACUGGAUGCUACAUGUCACCGCAUGGUGGUGUGUGGAAAGGGUUUACUGGUCUUGGAUGGGCUCACGGCCUAUCAGCUUGUUGGUGAGGUAAUGGCUCACCAAGGCGACGACGGGUAGCCGGCCUGAGAGGGUGACCGGCCACACUGGGACUGAGACACGGCCCAGACUCCUACGGGAGGCAGCAGUGGGGAAUAUUGCACAAUGGGCGAAAGCCUGAUGCAGCGACGCCGCGUGAGGGAUGACGGCCUUCGGGUUGUAAACCUCUUUCAGCAGGGAAGAAGCCACAAGUGACGGUACCUGCAGAAGAAGCGCCGGCUAACUACGUGCCAGCAGCCGCGGUAAUACGUAGGGCGCAAGCGUUGUCCGGAAUUAUUGGGCGUAAAGAGCUCGUAGGCGGUUUGUCGCGUCUGCUGUGAAAGCCCGGGGCUUAACCCCGGGUGUGCAGUGGGUACGGGCAGACUAGAGUGCAGUAGGGGAGACUGGAAUUCCUGGUGUAGCGGUG
rnacentral:rRNA from 1 species